GUGCUCACUUCAACAGCACAUAUAGUAAAACUGCAGAAAAAGAGAAAAUUAGCAUGGCACCUACACAAUGAUGACACGCAAAUUCGUGAAGCAUUCCAUAUUUUU